UGUGAACCUGGUUAGGCGAGGCUCCUAUAUAGAAAUACGCCACUGCCCAGAAACAUCUAGAGAUGCCAAUGGGUUGAACAUGUAUAAUCGGAAAGGUUAUACAUAACGUGGCUGGUUUUAUCCUAAGCUAUAUAGUGCCAAACCCCAACAGGUGUUAGGAGAAUA
rnacentral:sRNA from 1 species